rnacentral:rRNA from 1 species
CCUACGGGAGGCAGCAGUGAGGAAUAUUGGUCAAUGGACGAGAGUCUGAACCAGCCAAGUAGCGUGAAGGAUGACUGCCCUAUGGGUUGUAAACUUCUUUUAUAUGGGAAUAAAAUGUUCCACGUGUGGGAUUUUGUAUGUACCAUAUGAAUAAGGAUCGGCUAACUCCGUGCCAGCAGCCGCGGUAAUACGGAGGAUCCGAGCGUUAUCCGGAUUUAUUGGGUUUAAAGGGAGCGUAGGUGGAUUGUUAAGUCAGUUGUGAAAGUUUGCGGCUCAACCGUAAAAUUGCAGUUGAAACUGGCAGUCUUGAGUACAGUAGAGGUGGGCGGAAUUCGUGGUGUAGCGGUGAAAUGCUCAGAUAUCACGAAGAACUCCGAUUGCGAAGGCAGUUCACUGGACUGCAACUGACACUGAGGCUCGAAAGUGUGGGUAUCAAACAGGAUUAGAUACCCCUGUAGUC